GACGAACGCUGGCGGCGUGCUUAACACAUGCAAGUCGAACGGUGAUCUUGGGAGCUUGCUCUUGGGUGAUCAGUGGCGAACGGGUGAGUAACACGUGAGUAACCUGCCCCCGACUCUGGAAUAACUUCGGGAAACCGAAGCUAAUACCGGAUACGACACAGAGCUGCAUGGCUACUGUGUGGAGAGUUUUUCGGUUGGGGAUGGACUCGCGGCCUAUCAGCUUGUUGGUGAGGUAAUGGCUCACCAAGGGGACGACGGGUAGCCGGCCUGAGAGGGCGAUCGGCCACACUGGGACUGAGACACGGCCCAGACUCCUACGGGAGGCAGCAGUGGGGAAUAUUGCACAAUGGGCGAAAGCCUGAUGCAGCGACGCCGCGUGAGGGAUGAAGGCCUUCGGGUUGUAAACCUCUUUCAGUAGGGAAGAAGCGCAAGUGACGGUACCUACAGAAGAAGCACCGGCUAACUACGUGCCAGCAGCCGCCGUAAAAC
rnacentral:rRNA from 1 species